rnacentral:rRNA from 1 species
CCUACGGGAGGCUGCAGUGAGGAAUAUUGGUCAAUGGACGAGAGUCUGAACCAGCCAAGUAGCGUGAAGGAUGACUGCCCUAUGGGUUGUAAACUUCUUUUAUAUGGGAAUAAAACGUUCCACGUGUGGGAUUUUGUAUGUACCAUAUGAAUAAGGAUCGGCUAACUCCGUGCCAGCAGCCGCGGUAAUACGGAGGAUCCGAGCGUUAUCCGGAUUUAUUGGGUUUAAAGGGAGCGUAGGUGGAUUGUUAAGUCAGUUGUGAAAGUUUGCGGAUCAACCGUAAAAUUGCAGUUGAAACUGGCAGUCUUGAGGACAGUAGAGGUGGGCGGAAUUCGUGGUGUAGCGGUGAAAUGCUUAGAUAUCACGAAGAACUCCGAUUGCGAAGGCAGUUCACUGGACUGCAACUGACACUGAGGCUCGAAAGUGUGGGUAUCAAACAGGAUUAGAUACCCUAGUAGUC